UACAGAGGUCCCAAGCGUUGUUCGGAUUCACUGGGCGUAAAGCGUGCGCAGGCGGUUAUGUAAGACAGGGGUGAAAUCCCCGGGCUUAACCUGGGAACUGCAUUUGUGACUGCAUAGCUAGAGUACGGUAGAGGGGGAUGGAAUUCCGCGUGUAGCAGUGAAAUGCGUAGAUAUGCGGAGGAACACCGAUGGCGAAGGCAAUCCCCUGGACCUGUACUGACGCUCAUGCACGAAAGCUAGGGUAGCGAACGGG
rnacentral:rRNA from 1 species